CAGCAGCCGCGGUAAUACGGAGGAUUCGAGCGUUAUCCGGAUUUACUGGGUUUAAAGGGUGCGCAGGCGGGCUCUUAAGUCAGCGGUGAAAUGUCUGGGCUUACCCUAGGAAUUGCCGUUGAUACUGGGAGUCUUGGAUAAGCAUAAGGACGGCGGAAUGCGUAGUGUAGCGGUGAAAUGCUUAGAUAUUACGUAGAAGACCAAUUGCGAAGGCAGCUGUCUGGGUCUUUAUCGACGCUCAAGCACGAAAGCGUGGGGAGCAAACAGGAUUAGAUACCCUGGUAGUCCACGCCGUAAACGAUGAUCACUCGCUCUUGGCGAUAUGCUGUCAGGGGCCAAGCGAAAGCGUUAAGUGAUCCACCUGGGGAGUACGGCCGCAAGGCUGAAACUCAAAGGAAUUGACGGGGGCCCGCACAAGCGGAGGAACAUGUGGUUUAAUUCGAUGAUACGCGAGGAACCUUACCUGGGCUAGAACGGCAUACGAAUUAAGAGGGAAACCUUUUAAGCCUUUAUGGCGUAUGUCGAGGUGCUGCAUGGUUGUCGUCAGCUCGUGCCGUGAGGUGUCGGGUUAAGUCCCAUAACGAGCGCAACCCUUAUCGUCAGUUACCAUCAAGUAAAGUUGGGGACUCUGGCGAGACUGCCGGUGCAAACCGUGAGGAAGGUGGGGAUGACGUCAAAUCAGCACGGCCCUUACGUCCAGGGCGACACACGUGUUACAAUGGGUAGUACAGAGAGUUGCCAGCCAGCGAUGGUGAGCUAAUCUAUUAAAUCUACCCUCAGUUCGGAUUGGAGUCUGCAACUCGACUCCAUGAAGCUGGAUUCGCUAGUAAUCGCGCAUCAGCCAUGGCGCGGUGAAUACGUUCCCGGGCCUUGUACACACCGCCCGUCAAGCCAUGAAAGUCGUGGGUGCCCGAAGUUCGUAACCGCGAGGGGCGACCUAAGGCAAACUCGAUGAUUAGGGCUAAGUCGUAACAAGGUAGCCGUA
rnacentral:rRNA from 1 species